GUGAUCGAUACAAAAGCUCACAAGUGAUUUUCUAGCAUGAAGGAGUACGUGCAUUUAAUGCUUAACAACCACAAUCUUCAGACGGAAAGCUCAAGUGAAGAAACAUAUCUAUUUAGAUUUGUUUUGCAUGGGCAUUCACCUAGGAUGUGUCAAAUCCUAUGAAAAAUAAAUGAAGUUCAAGAUCUAGAAGUUGUCAAACACCACUAAAAGACGUGCACUACUGAUGAAAGACCUGCUCUGACUUAAAGUAAGUGAUUUUCUACUGAAAUGAUCAACACAAAAGCUUACAAGAGUGAUUUUCCAACAAUAAGGAGUAUGUGCAUUUAAUGCAAGCAUUAACUGCUCCAACAACAAUAAUCUUUGAAGAUAACAAACACUUGUUGAAGAAAACCUAUAAAUACCAUAAGCUUUUAAAGACAUGGACAUAAACCUAGUGUUUUGAUUCAAAUUCUUUUUGUAAUAAUUUUUUUUGUAACUUGUUGUAUAGUUUGAAAAUAUUCUCAGAAUACCUUGAGAGAAAAGAUUAAUGAGAUUGUAUAUCCAUCUCUAAGACAAUUAAGAGUUAGUUAUUGUACAAACAAACAAUUUUUUUUUAUUUGUAUAGAGUCAAUAGUGACUUGGUAGGACAAAGAAUACUUGAUUGUAACAAGCUUAGUCUUGAGUUGUAAGGGUCAGAAGUGGUGCUAGUGAUUAAUACUUGUAAUUUGUUGGUGGUUAGCCAAAACAAAACAUAAUCUCAGUAGUAGAAAUCAACAUAUAUAAAUCUCUAUGUCUUAAUGCUUUCGUUUAUCUUUUUAUUUUUAAACUGACCUAGGACUUGAUUAGAUUUUGUUUUGAAAACUUUGUCUGAUUUGCAAGAUCUAUUUUAAUCGUCUGAAAGUGAUUUUGCGAAAAUCUAUUAUUUAUCUUAUAA
rnacentral:lncRNA from 1 species